rnacentral:rRNA from 1 species
CCUACGGGGGGCUGCAGUGAGGAAUAUUGGUCAAUGGGCGCGAGCCUGAACCAGCCAAGUAGCGUGAAGGAUGACUGCCCUACGGGUUGUAAACUUCUUUUAUAAAGGAAUAAAGUGAGGCUCGUGUGCCUUUUUGUAUGUACUUUAUGAAUAAGGAUCGGCUAACUCCGCGCCAGCAGACGCGGUAAUACGGAGGAUCCGAGCGUUAUCCGGAUUUAUUGGGUUUAAAGGGAGCGUAGAUGGGUUGUUAAGUCAGUUGUGAAAGUUUGCGGCUCAACCGUAAAAUUGCAAUUGAUACUGGCAGUCUUGAGUACAGUUGAGGUAGGCGGAAUUCGUGGUGUAGCGGUGAAAUGCUUAGAUAUCACGAAGAACUCCGAUUGCGAAGGCAGCUUACUAAACUGCCACUGACAUUGAUGCGCGAAAGUGUGGGUAUCAAACAGGAUUAGAUACCCCAGUAGUC